GGCACGGUAGGGCAGUGGGUAGCGCUGUUCCCUGACAGCUAGGAGGUCAUGGGUUCAAUUCCAGCCUGGGGCG